CUUUGAAGAAUGCACGGAAAAGACUCAUCAAGAACCCCCUAAGUAAAUGAGAGUGAAUGAAGCACUAAACAAAGGCUUUUCCAUACUUUUAGCAACUGUAAGUAAAUAUUUAAAAUGUUCUUUUGAAUUCCCAGGGUCCAAACACUGGGUAUUGAUCUGUUAUGUUAUAGAUAGAACCACAUUCAGCUUUACUAACCAACAUUCAGAUGAUUUACAAAAGAAGAGGAGGAUCACCAAUGAGGAA
rnacentral:lncRNA from 1 species